GUCUCUUGAUAUAAUGAAUUUGGGAAGUGAUGCAUUGUACAAAGAAAAUGCAGGUACCUUUGACCAGCUGGAGAAACACAAGACAGGUAUGGAUGACUCUAAGAGAUUGGGGUGACCUGCAUCCUCAAAGGUGGUGGGGAGACAGGAAUACCAGCAAGCACAGCCUGUCAUGUCAUAUUACUACAGAACCAAAAAAGCAUUGUAGCAGAAAUUCCCUCUUCUUCCUAUUAAAGGGAACAGACCUUCUGUUUGUGACUGUAUCCAGCCAGCCUAGGUACGGUUCAGUGGUCUAUGAGAGUGUGACUGCAUAACUGCACAUCCUGAGGUGCUAAGAAAACAUGGAAAGUUGGGGGAAUUCCUGCUUAGAUAAAGCACUGUGUGUGCUGUGAAGCUACUGUAUCCUUCAGGUGCCUACAAUACAAUUUGGUCAAUGCUAGAUGCACAAGUCUUCCAUAUGAGGAGGUGCGGUGGGUUCUGGGGAAAACUGAUUCUGAACACUGUGGGCCAGUUUCAGGGUAGUCAAUGCAGUGCUCACCAUAUUUUUUAGAUUACCACUCCCAUCAGCCUCAGCCAGCGUGACCAAUGGCCAUGGAUGAUGAGAGUCAAAGUUCAACAAUAUCUGGAAGGCACCAACUUUGGCUGUCCCUGACCUAGUGUCAGGUAGGUAGCCAUGUUAUUCUGACACAGUCGAAAUAAAUAUAUAUAUAUUUUUAAAUGUUCAGUAGCACCUUAGAGACAUGACCUAGUGUGUACUUGUCUUUUCUGUUGUCAUAAACACUGUAAGAGGGAAACAUUUCUUAAGCACUUGGGAGGAAGGAAUUCAGAAUAGCACAAAAUGUGCAAUUCUUUUUCUCAGAAAAAUGAUUAUUUUCACUAUAGUUAUCCCAGUACCCAGAGAUAUGAGAUGGGGAAGAUGGAUUCCAUCUGGAUCCUGAACCACAAUUUUGCUACUACUGCUCUAGUGUCUAUUCUGCUCUUGUAGCAAUUGUCCCUGACUCUGAACGCCUUCACCCCCAAGUUCUGGAACUAAUGUUGUGAUCUUUCUUUGGCUCAAAGUUAAGGGUGGCCUUGGGAGGGGGGUUAAUUCCAGGAAUCCCAAGCAGGGCGAUUUUGCUCACAAAAUGCUUACAAUGAUGGAAGGGCAUUAUGAGGUGCUUGUUUUUGAUUCCCCUGAAGUCCCCUACGCCCCUUGAAAAUUUGCCGAAGCUUAUUGGAGAUUUUCCAGAAUAGCAUGAGAAGUCAUGGAGGGGGCUGUGGAAGGAAAGAAAAAAGGUGAAGAAAAAUAAUCUCACUCCCUUUCAUCUGCUAGAGCUUCUAUUGGAUGAAAGGCUUUGACUAGCAUUGGAUACAACCCCCAGGUUCUUUUGAUACAAUUCAAAAUGAGUUCUAGAGAGUUCACUAAAAUAUGUUCCCUGUAUUUAAAGGACUCUUGUGAAGUUUCCUAUUAGAUUUUAUGCAUUUUUCUUUGUUUAUGAGAUUUUUUUUACUUGCUCUUCACCAUAAGGCCCCAGGGCAGGUUACAGCAAAACAGUAUAAUAUACAGAUAUAAGAAACAGGUAAAAUAGUGACAAUUAUAAAAAUAAGAAAAGCUGUUCUAAUCAGAAUACAACAGUACAAUGGUAAUUAUAGAAUGCAUUUAUCCACUCUGAUUUUUUUUUUUAAUUCCUUCCCUCAGCUGUUUUUGCUUUCCUCAUGGUACAUAUUUAUUUUCUGAAAUGCAUGAUCUAUUCACAAAUAUUCAUGUGGGUUUCCAUGUGGACUGCAGUCAGCACACUGGAACACACUUUCUUGAUUUCCAUCUAGAAAACAUUUGAAUAUUUACAUGCCUUAGCAAAAAUAGAUUUUCUUAAAAUGUAAAAAUGUGUCUAAAUAAUUUGCAGGGUCUACUUUUUUCCUAGUCUGCAAAUUGCAGAUUAACUUCAAUUGAUUUAAAACACAGUGUAUGAUAAGAGGGCCAGAAAGGGGUGCCUAACGUUAGCAGUGUACACAGAGAAGCCAGUUAUAAAGGCACCACAAUCUUCCUUUGCUGUACUCUAAGCUCUGUCAGACAUUACCAGCUCCAGAUAUGAAAUCAAGAACCGAUCAUAUAUAUUGAUCAUGCCAACAUAUAGCAGUAUUUACUUUGGAUUCAAGCACAAUCUGUUUUCCAUACUUCUGUUUAUUAGCUUGAAAAGUGCUUAGAGCUCUAGAAUAAUUUACCACUCCCUAUCUGAACUUUAAAAAAAAUAAUAGUGUAGAAAUCUCCUUCCAUAAACACUUCUGAAUAUCAAGGUGGUUGUGUUGUCCUCUUGCACCAAAAAGUGGAAGACCGUUUUUCAGGCACACAGUCAUUAGGCUACCAUUUCACAGUCAGCACAAACAACAGCACAAGCAUGCUCUGUGUUCCUUCCUUUUGAUUCACAUUCAAUUUUGCCAAAGUCAGGGUUAUGGACUCCGGCCAGCCAAUCCGGGUGGCCGGGGUGCAUGGCUUGGCUGAUUUAAACUACUGUGCGGCCAAGGGAUCUCCCUUGUUUGUCCGGCUUCUGCGGAGCUCCCACCCUCCCUCUUUUCAUGUGUCCUCUUCUUGGCCUUGCCAUGGACCUUGGUUGGUCACUAUUGAGGGGCCUGGUAGGCAUUUUUCCACUUGGCAAAUUGGCACUCGCCAUUUGGUUUUCGCCUACCUCAUAGCAAUCAUCACAACUUUUGUAAGGUUUGGCAGUUAGGCAUUGGUAAAGCCUGGUUUGGGGGAGGGCAGGUUUGGCCAUCACCUGCCCCUCCAUGUAAAAGGGUAUUCCAUUAAAGGAAUCCAGGGGUUGUGGUUCCUGCUCAAAGCCCAGGUGGUUGCUAGGGCCAUGGCACGGCCUUGUCUGUGACCCUGGGGGAGCUCUAGUUGAUGUGCAUCAGCAGGGCUCCCCCUAUUGCUGGUUGACCCUUACCAGGCUCCCUGCAUGGCGGGCAGGCGUCACAUAUAGUUGGUUUAAUUCCAAUGCCUAAGCCAAUACCACUCACAUUCUGUAACCAAUAAACUUGUGGCCUAAAUUUGCCAAUUGAACCUAAAAUACUGAGUCCCGGUAUAUUAUUCACCAUAGGGGGGAGGCCUCGGUGUCUUGACAUGCAAGAGGGAUUGAUAGUUCAACCAUUCUGUGAAGCAGAGGUGCCAGCUUCUCCAGAAGAUCGUGUGUGUGUGUGUGUGUGUGUGUGUGUGUGCAAUGUUGCACGGUGUCCUGAUGUCACAUGCAUGACGUCCUCUGAAAAUUGAGGGUGCCCAGCCCCCUCACAAAAAUAUAUUCAGAGGGCUUAAGCUGCCUUGGCCCCCUAGGAGUUGGCACCCCUGCUGUGAACUGUAGCUCUGGGAGGGAAAUAGGGGUCUCCUGACAACUCUCAGCACCAGGCUGACCCACCCAUGACAGCUGAGGCAGGUGGUUUGGGUAGCAAAAGCUCCAAAGGUGGUGGUGCUGUGGGUGCCCCGCUGCCUCCGCCACUGGCGACUUCCAGUGAGAUCUUGCUGAAAUCUCCAUGAGUUUUCACAAGAGCUUGCAAGAUCUGGCCAGAACCCACCACUGCUGCUUUGCAGGCACCACCACGCCACCUGGGUAAGGGAAGCUUUGGCAACUGCAGGACGGCACCUUCUUGUUUCAGCUCAGGUGGAGAAAUGGGACAUACAUCCCUUGUUCAGCACCCUUAACAAACUACAGAAUUCUUUGGAGGAAGCCAAUGUGGUAUCAUCAGAAUAUGUAGCAGCUUCCUGCAUCCCUUUCUAAAAUGCUUUGCAUAAUCUGAGUGACUGUUGACAUGGGGGCUUCAGCACAUUCCAGGCAAAGUCUAAAUCCGCUCUUGCCACCGUCUUUGGUGUCACCACAGUGCCACAAGACUGAGAGCAAACAAAGACUUUAUGCGGAUAAGGGUUAAAGAAGAAAUCCUGUCAUGACUUCCUUACAAGAAUAAAGCAAGGAAAGAUUUAGCAACCGUGUGCCAGUGGGGGAUUUUAAAGCUGGAUUGUUUGUAGCACAUCCCAUUUCGGUGCUUUGCUACUGUUUUGUCUAAUGAAUGGUUUUGCUUAAAAACCCCUCAAUUAUCUGGAGAGAGUUUAUGCAUUUCCAGUCCUAAGCAAAACCAGUGUUGAUAAGGCCAGAGCGGUUCCUGGUGCAUCAAACACGAUACAUAAAAAAUCUGAAACAAAUCAACACAACCCGCACAUCUGCUGGGGUAUGCCAUACGGAGCAAAUAAAGGCACAAACUCAAUUUGGAAAGAAGAACAAAUUCCUUCGCAAACCACUUCUUAUAUUGUUUAACUAUCUCAUGCAUCUUGUUUACACAUGGUUAUUUUGGGAGUAAAAAGCAAGGUCUUCAUGUUUAUUGCUCAUGUGAAUGACAGAACAUUCGAUUUGCGUCUCCGUCGUGGGAGAGGCUCUGAGACUGAAUGACUGUGCUGGUAAGGAGAGAGGUAGAAGGUUGUUAUAUCGUUAUAGAAAGAUGUUUGCAUGAAAUACAGGAAACGACUUGAUUGGCAUUUCAUGAAACCAAGCAGCCGCCAUCCUGGAAUGUAAACUUUAAUUUGCUAAUUGCAUUCAAAUCAUUUUAUACCUAUUGUGGCAGAUUUUCAAAUGUUGCAUUUGAAAUGUAACUUAGGCCUGCUUGACUUACAACUUGACAAGCCAAGGAUACCCCAUCAGCCCCAUGCUGGAAGCUUCCUCCACCCCCUAAGUCUCCAAGGACCUUGUAAAACCACUGUUUUUCUUCCCACCCCUCUUCUUUCAUGGGGAAAGGGCAAAAAGAAAAGACCACCCAAAACUGAGAUGGGGCUGGGAGAGAUUUCUGAGAAUUGGGGGGCAACGGGCUUGGUUUAAUUUACUUUGCAGUCAAGAAAUCACCAUGAAAAUGAUGCUCCAUAGCAUUACUAUGGUGAUCUGGUGCAGGAAGAGUAACCCAGUUGGCAAGAGUAUAGAAGGUUCUGGAGUUGAGGGAGCCUUGCUGGUUGUAACAAGUAGCCAACAAGGGUGUGUGGUUUUUUUUAAAAGUGUUAGUGAAAAAACAGGACCCUUCAUGGGCCAACUGUCAGAAGGUAGUUUCCCCCACCCUGAGAUUUUGUGUACAAUUGUGUACAAUUGAAGCAACACAUAUGGGCAUUUUAGAUGUUGAUGGACUACAACUCCCAUCAUCCCUGGCCAUUGGUCAUGCUGGCAGGGGUUAAAGGGGGCUGGUGUCCAACAGCAUCUUGAGGGCCAUAGGUUCCCUGCCCCCUGGACUAUAUUGACUAGCAGUGGCUCUCCAGGAAUUCAUAUGGGAUCUCUCGCACCCCUGCCUGGAUAUGCUGGGGACUGAACCUGGGACCUUCUGCGUGCAAGACAGAUGUUCUACCAUUUAGCUACAGCCAUUCCCGACUUGAAAUGGGCUAGUCAUGGUGACUUGUGUAACCAAGGGACCUGUAUCAUGCCAUUUGCAGCUUUUGACAUCUUAGCAACAGAAGUGGGGUGCCAUUUGGGAUUGCUUUCUUAUAUACCCAAUUGUAUGUUUUCUGUCCUUUUCCUAAAUAAACCUUCUUUAAGAAUUCUACUGUCAGGGACUGGCCAGAACUGGAGGAAGCAGUUAGGCAUUUAGCCAUUGAGCUUGUGACAUCUACUGAGUUUUGUUUUGGGAAGUCAGUAGCCUAAGACCUCAGAAAAAUCUAUUAUUAUCUACCAAUAUCUAUGUAUUUUUUCCUAAGCUCCUUGAUAUAAUCAUCUGUAGGCAUAUAUUAUAAAGCAAUACUUUUAUUGAGUUUUCUUCAAUUACACAAACAAUGAAACUGGAGAACAGUUCCAGGGAAGCAGUGUCACAUAUCACGUAAUACACACCGUUGUUAAACAAAUGAAAGAUAAAAGAAAUACCCAAUAAAGAUACAGCUAAAGAACAAGAGGCCAGGAUAUUAUCAUAAGUUUUGAAUUUCCAUGGAUCGAUGUAGAUUGUUACUAUUGAUGUAUGAAAUGAAGUUCCACCAAAUUGCAUAAAAGGCCUGUGGUCACUCUUUACCUUUGCAUGACUCUCAUAUUAUGCGCAAUCAUCUCAGAUGUAGCAAUGCCCCAUGUUUUUGUACCAUAAGGAAAGCUUCAAAUCUUCCAGUUUUUUUGCUCAAUAUAGUCUUGCAAUGGUCAAAAACAAAAACAACAACAACAAACAAAAGUUCCUUGUCUUUAAAACCCACACUUAUAUUCUCAAAUAAAGAUAAAAAUGACAACUGUGGUCUUUUAAAAUGUCAAUAAUUACCUUAUAUAUCUUAGUCCAGACCUCUUUGACUAGUGGACGCUCCCAUCACAAGUGCUAAUAAAUACCCUGCACUGUAAAUUAUGAAGUUGGAAAUCAUACUUUUAGGGAAGCCCCAUUCUUAAGUUCUAUAUUAUCCUGCCAUUUUCAAGCUAUCCCCAGAGUUAGUUUGAGGUCCACAUCCUAUCAAUUUUUCAGGUAUGCACCACUAAAAAUGUGUGAAGGCUGUACAAUGCAAGUGUACAAGUCAGAGAACUGUGACUGUGAAUUUGCAGCUCUUUGUCGAGCAGAUACUUGGGAACAUAGGAAGUGGCCUUAUACUGAGUCAGAACAUUACUCCUUCUGUCUCAGUGGCAAUGGCUUCCCAGAGUUUCAGACAGGAGUCCUAACCUGGGGAAUGAACCUGCAACUUUCUGCAUCCAAAGCAGUUGCUCUUCCCCCAAGCAAUUUUUAUCCAUAAUGGCAUUAUACAGUGAUCCUAAGGAUGGGGAAGAUGUUGGUCCCAUGGCAGCCCUUGGUUCAUGGCUGAGAGAAGAAUAAGGAAGUAAAUAGAAAUAGAUUCUACCGCAUCUUUUAUCAGAAACCUUAUUAUCCGACACCCUAUUCCACCAUUCACUAUAUUUCUCUCAUAUUGAUUGCCAUUAUCCUCUGACUGCUGCUGAAAGCCAUUUCUCUCUCUUAGGUUUGUAAACUAUUGCGCCACAUCAGGACCUGUCCUUAGCCAGCUGUCAGAAGAUGGCUCCCCAGCAACUACCGGGACUUUGCAUACGAUAGAAGCAACACAUAUGUGCAGCUUCCAGCAGCUCAGCAACUAAGGAUUGCAGAUUUGUGAAUUUGCAACUGUUUGCUCUGCACAGCCACCAGCUGCACACUUAACAGCUUAUCUCCUUGUCAGCAAAGCAAAAGAAAAAUGAACAGCGUAGAGAAAUGACUCACACCAUUCCUACAAGGAUUUGUUUGUUUGGAAGCCACUGCAUUGUCUGGUAGCAGAGGUUUACUUGAAGCUAGAAGAAGCCACCAUUGAAUUCGAUCGAGGCCUUUCCAGAGGGCCAGUUCAUAAGUAUCAUGUGAACAUUUGUUGCUCAUUUGUUGCAAUGGAGCUCUUGUUUUUCUCGAAGGAAUCAGCUCUGUUUCAGGUCACACUGCACCUUUCAAGCACUACAACUACAGUACAUACCCUCCAAAAUUUCUCCGAUGAAAAUACGGACAGCCUAUUUCAUCAUCAUCAUCAUCAUCAUUUUAUUAUUAAUAUCCCAACCCCAGCCAUUCUGUGCAGCUUCCAACAUAUAUAGAAACAUAAUAAAACAUAAAGCAUUAAAAAAACUUCCCUAUACAGAGUUGCCUUCAGAUGUCUUCUAAAAGUUGUAUAGAGUUACUUACUGAAUCUCCUUGGCUCAGGGGUCACAGAAUUCCAUAUCCUCCAACAUUUCUCUGAUGAAAAUAGGAACAUCCUAAGGAAAAGAGGGACAUUCUGGGAUCACAUCAGAAACUGGGACGACUUCAGGAAAUCUGAAAAUAGGGGGAACUUGGAGAGCCUGCAACUAGCAAGUGUUGUCUGCAAGGAAACUGUGAUUAAUUCUGCAGCUAGCAGGGCCAUCAACUGAUCAUAUUAACUGGAGACCCCAACUGAAAUUGGAACAUUCUGUAUGGGCCCUCUUGUCAAUGACAUGCUAUCGGUGGUGCAGUUAGGUGGUUAAACUUGGGACCUCAUGGCCUUGCAGUUGCAUGGAGGGGGGUCUUUAGAUGGUAAUAUAUAUUUCUUCACAUACUUCAGAAUGCAAUACAACCGCCCUCCUGGCUCUGGGGGCAUUGCUACACAGUGCUGAGUGGGGUUCUGGACUUCGACCCCAAAAUCUUGCUCAGAGGGCAGGGAUGGGGAAGAGAUUUGAUUCUUUCUGCAUUUUAAUGGGAAAUGAUUUGUACUUCUCUAAUUUGUACUUCUCAAUCUAAUAUGCAAACCCAAACACAGCAACCCUUUAGAAUUUGUACUUCUCAGAAUUGCACAAUGCAGUUCUCCAGCCAAGUAAUGUGUACCGGUAUGCGCACAAUAAGGGAAUGUGCAUUUUCAUCAGCACUAUAUUCAGC